AUUGAACGCUGGCGGCAUGCCUUACACAUGCAAGUCGAACGGCAGCGGGGGAGAAGCUUGCUUUUCCUGCCGGCGAGUGGCGAACGGGCGAGUAAUACAUCGGAACGUGCCCUGUAGUGGGGGAUAACUAGUCGAAAGAUUAGCUAAUACCGCAUACGACCCGAGGGUGAAAGUGGGGGACCGCAAGGCCUCAUGCUAUAGGAGCGGCCGAUGUCUGAUUAGCUAGUUGGUGGGGUAAAGGCCUACCAAGGCGACGAUCAGUAGCUGGUCUGAGAGGAGGAUCAGCCGCACUGGGACUGAGACACGGCCCAGACUCCUACGGGAGGCAGCAGUGGGGAAUUUUGGACAAUGGGCGAAAGCCUGAUCCAGCAAUGCCGCGUGUGUGAAGAAGGCCUUCGGGUUGUAAAGCACUUUUGUCCGGAAAGGAAUGGCUCUGGUUAAUACCUGGGGUCGAUGACGGUACCGGAAGAAUAAGGACCGGCUAACUACGUGCCAGCCGCCGCCGUAA
rnacentral:rRNA from 1 species